AUGUUGGUCUAUCGGGGCCUGUCUGUGUCUGCCUAUCGUGGCUGUCUGCGUCUGGCCUAUCGUGGCUAUUUAUGUACGGUCUAUUGGGGCCUGUCUGUGUCUGCCUAUCGUGGCUGUCUGCGUCUGGCCUAUCGUGGCUAUUUAUGUUCGGCCUAUCGGGGCCUGUCCGUGUCUGCCUAUCAUGGCUAUUUCUGUUGGUCUAUCGAGGCCUGUCUGUGUCUGCCUAUCGUGGCUAUUUCUGUUGGUCUAUCGAGGCCUGUCUGUGUCUGCCUAUCGUGGCUAUUUCUGUUGGUCUAUCGAGGCCUGUCUGUGUCUGCCUAUCGUGGCUAUUUCUGUUGGUCUAUCGAGGCCUGUCUGUGUCGGCCUAUCGUGGCUAUUUCUGUUGGUCUAUCGAGGCCUGUUUGUGCCUGCCUAUCGUGGCUGUCUGUGUCUGCCUAUCGUGGCUAUUUCUGUUGGUCUAUCGAGGCCUGUUUGUGCUGCCUAUCGUGGCUGUCUGUGUCUGCCUAUCGUGGCUAUAUCUGUUGGUCUAUCGAGGCCUGUCCGUGUCUGCCUAUCAUGGCUAUUUCUGUUGGUCUAUCGAGGCCUGUCUGUGUCUGCCUAUCGUGGCUAUUUCUGUUGGUCUAUCGAGGCCUGUCUGUGUCUGCCUAUCGUGGCUAUUUCUGUUGGUCUAUCGAGGCCUGUUUGUGCCUGCCUAUCGUGGCUGUCUGUGUCUGCCUAUCGUGGCUAUUUCUGUUGGUCUAUCGAGGCCUGUUUGUGCUGCCUAUCGUGGCUGUCUGUGUCUGCCUAUCGUGGCUAUUUCUGUUGGUCUAUCGAGGCCUGUUUGUGCUGCCUAUCGUGGCUGUCCGUGCCUGCCUAUCGUGGCUGUGUGUGUCUGCCUAUCGUUGCUGUCUGUGUCUGGCCUAUUGCGGCUAUUUCUGUAAAAAGCUUAAGAAGUUUAAUCUAACGUUAUUUAUACUGGUCAUGCUAACUCUCUUUCUAUUUCUUCCAGGAACCUUAGGAUUCACAACUGGUGGGUAUACUUCAUCUACUUUUUUGGGGGGAAGGCUGGCCCCGUCUGGAGGUCUCAUAAUCCACCUAAUUUUGGGGGUCUGCUGCGCCCCUGCCUUCGUCUUCAGGCAGGAAAUGCAGAUUCGCUACCCUCGGAUUACGAACCAUGGACGGGGCCUUCCGCCAAAGAAAUUUAUAAUUGUGCUCGCUGAGCUGUCAAUAAAUGUAUGCUUCGUACAUUCCUCUAUCUCCCGAGUCUUUCUGGUAGAACUAACAAACUGGUUUUAA
rnacentral:lncRNA from 1 species